rnacentral:rRNA from 1 species
AGCGAACGCUGGCGGUAGGCCUAACACAUGCAAGUCGAACGGCAGCACAGUAAGAGCUUGCUCUUAUGGGUGGCGAGUGGCGGACGGGUGAGGAAUACAUCGGAAUCUACUUUUUCGUGGGGGAUAACGUAGGGAAACUUACGCUAAUACCGCAUACGAUCUACGGGUGAAAGCAGGGGAUAUUCGGACCUUGCGCGAAUGAAUGAGCCGAUGUCGGACUAGCUAGUUGGCGGGAUAAUGGCCCACCAAGGCGACGAUCCGUAGCUGGUCUGAGAGGAUGAUCGGCCACACUGGAAGUGAGACACGGUCCAGAGUCCUACGGGAGGCAGCAGUGGGGAAUAUUGGACAAUAGGCGCAAGCCUGAUCCAGCCAGACCGCGUGGGUGAAGAAGGCCUUCGGGUUGUAAAGCCCUUUUGUUGGGAAAGAAAAGCAGCAGGUUAAGACCCCGCUGUUCUGACGGUACCCAAAGAAUAAGCACCGGCUAACUUCGUG